UGUAUCUAGACAUAUUUUAGUUCUAGAUACAUCCCUUUUUGUCCAUUUUGAUGACAAGUAUUUUCGGACGGAGGGAGUACAUAGAAGUAGAUCGGAUUGGUCACAAAUAUCUUACUACUUCAGCAGCAGUUAUGUUUUUCCAACUGAAAUCAUUUUCCUUGCUAGGCACUAGCUAUACCUGAAAACAGGUAAGAGACAUGUUGUUGGCAACUUACCCUUAGUUACAGUUGAGGUACUUGCACAAAAGACGUGUGAAAAUGUUUGAUUUUAACAUUGUUUUACCAUAUGCUUUGAUUUCAUCGGGAAAGAGGAGAAGACGAGAGGAAAAGAGUCCCUAAGGGUAAGUAUGGCGGAGCACAACAGGUUGAAACAAAAAUACUGAGAUGGUGUUGAGAACAGAAAAUAGGAGAAAUACUCCAAUGUUUUACACAACAUGUUGUGACACAUGCACACGACAUAGAUAUUUUAAUCAAUAUCUCAUUUAAUGAACUAAUCAAGAAAGAAAAAAAUAGAUUGACUCAUGAUGACAAAUAUGUUCGUCUUGAUUUGUACUAUCAAUUUUUAUCGCAACACAGUCAUAAGUCGCAUGUGACGUUCACAUUGUGAAUUGAAAUGAUGUUUUGAUUAGUGUCUUAGUUUGUUGUUUCAUGGUAGCACGGGCAUUCACCUGUGUUAGUUUUUCAUCUUGAAUGAAAGUAACUUUGUGUUAUAAUUGAUUGAGCAUAUGAAUUUAUGAAGUAUUGGUUGUGUAUGCUAAUUCUGACGGAUGGAAUCCUUUGCUUUCUAGCAUCGUGCACUAAUAUCUCUACCCCUAAUGUCUCAGUUGGUAGAAUAGGUUCCACGAAUUUUUUUUGUCCCACCACUUUCGUCUAGUUUUUUUCUUUGUUUUUUUGUCCCCCACCCCACCCCACCCCAUGCAAGCACCCCCAAAAAAAACCCGCACAAACACCGCUCCUAUCGAUCCCCUGGACGCACGAGAUCGCCGCCGCCGACCUCACAGAGAAGAUGCCACCGAAUCUUGUACACGUACGGGAUCGCCGGAUCCCUGGAACGCCGCUGAUCUAUUCACUACGUCGACGGAAACCAAGCGCUACACUAGAAACCAGGCCGAUCCCAGAGCCAGAAGAAGAAGGAGAAGAGGGUGUCCAUGGCUCAUCAGGCGUCGGCGGGCAAUGAUGACACGCGGAUGCGAAGGUGUUCGUGGAUGGCCUGGCGUGGAAGAUGAGCAAGGAGGGCGUGCGCGACCAGUUCGAGCUCUUCGGCGAGAUCCUCGAGGCCGUCGUCAUCGCCAACAAGGGCACCGACAUAUCCAAGGGCCGCGGAUUCGUGAGUACCCACCCAAACAAUUCUCUCUUCCCCUCAUCGUCAAUUCAUGUUCAGUAGUUAAUUCUCUUGUUUAAUUCAGCCCUGUUAGUUGAUGCUAUGCCUAGAUGGAUGUUUGGCAGGUUACGUUUUGGGAGGCGGAGGCGGCCAUUAGGGCGUGCUUGGGUCCGUACCGGUGAUUGACGACCGAAGGACCAACUGCAACCUUGCCCGCCUCAGGGUCCAAAGGUCCAAGGCCCCACAACCAACUGCCUCUGCAUCCAUAUGCUGCAAUCAAGUUACCAAAUCUGAAGCAUUUUAGCAAGGCAACGGUACAUGUGCUCUUUUGGUGGAAGAUGAAGCUUUUGUUGGUAAUGUGAUGUUUUUUCUGACGAAGACUGACAAUUAAUUCAAAAGACUGACAAUUAACCAUGG